rnacentral:lncRNA from 1 species
ACAUGUAUACUCGGAGAGAGCAGAAAAUAUGUAUAGAGGAUAUGUAUAUUCUAUUUAAUCUUCCUGAUGUGAGAGGCCAACGUUGCAUGGUGAAGUGGUAUGAGUCUACGUAUGUGUAAAUUGUCUUGCUGUUUCUGUAUAUUCUUUCAGAGUCAUUUCUAGCUGGAAAGUUUUAGAAGCAUCCCGUGGUCCCAUGCGUGGGAUGGUUUGCCUUAUUGAAGACUCUGCAGAACCGUUAGUCUUUCCGACAGACGUGGCCUUUUUCAUCUAAGGGCUCAACCAGUCUAAGCAUUUCUUGUAGUUAGAGAGUGAGGUGUUCAGUGGAAGUGUGUCUCUCACAGUAUCAGGACCGUUUUGUUCUGUGCCCGUGCUAGCUGAUAGACACCGUCGGUUAACCACGCCACCCGAGGACAGUCUGAGAAGUUAGUGUUGAUGCUUUUCUUUAUAUGAGGGAAUUCUGAGCUGAGAUUGUCCUUGUCACCAUCCUGCUAUUAGCUACGAUCUCACAAUGAGUUCUUGUCAGCGUGCAGACAGCAGAGCUGGCUGAGGCUGUGGUCGUGGUUAAAAGGGUACAGAUUACAGAGCCCCAGCAUGACAAUAGCGUGUGGAAGGCAGCAUCUUCCUUUCUCCUCCUCUUAGGGACGCUAUCAAUGAACUGCACACUCUAGAUACCUCCUGACACCAGGUUCUUUACCAUCUCCUUGUGGUGCUGAGACCGUGUAUAUGGUGCUAGUGCUCUGUGGGCUUUGUUCAAAUGACACCUCUUCUUAAGGGCUUUCUACAUCUGGCUCCAUGAUCUCCCUGCCCAGUCAGAACCAAAUCCUCUGUUGGCCAAGCCAACCUUCUUCCCUAGGCAGAAACCGUUGGCUGCUGGCCGGCCUUCCUGGACUGAGCCUGCAGCCUGGUUCCAGCUGCUCGCAGGACAGUGUGCAGGCCUCAUGGCCUAACUCCACACACCACCUCCCUUGGAGUAUUCGGUCUCUUUCCUGCAACUCUGCGUUCUGGGCCUGGCUACAGAUAACAGUGAGGCCACGUCCAGAUGGCAGACCUGUGCUUCCUGUGUCUUCUGAGCAGAAGAAUGCAUUCGAAUUGAGAAGAGACACCUAAAAGGGAUGGCUUUUAGAAUUCCUGCCUGUAUUUUCUCCUGGAAAUGUGUCCAGCUGGAGAGAUACCAAGUUCAUUGUUACUUUUUGAUAUUUUCAUUUGUACGUCUGUGAAUAUUUUAAUACAUCUUUUUCGAUUUCUG